UCUCCCAGCCUCGCCUCUUUCCUCUUUCCUCAUCGCAAAAUCCAUAUCUCAGAAACCUCAUCAAUCUCACAAAAGAUCCGUAUCAUGAAAAAUCCCUCUUUUAAUCCCAUGAAUCUCAUCUCUGAUUUCCCGAUCUCUUUAGAACUCGUUCAUUCACCUAUUUCCUUCACAGAGUUUAUGGUAUGAACCCUAAUUUACCAAAACAGAAAUCAAAACUAACCUUUGACAGGAAAUCUAUAAGCAUUUACUGAGUUUGGGUAACCUAAUCUCAGGUAAGAUAACCUAUUUUACGAAUUUUGUAUAUUUUGAUUUUAUAAACCCUAGAAAUUGUUUUUUGAUUUUUGAUUUUGAAAUCGCAAAAGAAGAUCGAAAAUAAAUCCGGGAAGAGUGGGGUACCAAAUCAAGAAAAUCGAGUAUAACUCUAGCCCUAUCAAUUAUUUUUGGUUAUGAAUCUUGAUUUGAGCUUAUUCAUCCUUGUUUUAAGUUUUUUGCAAGAUGUGUUUGUUUGAUUUCAGAUUUAUGAAGUAAUUUUGUAAAUAAUCUUGUGUACAUCUCUGGAGAGUCGUAUGCAGGGGUAUACGUGACUACUCUGGCUUCUCAAGUUGUGAAGGGUGACUAUCCUUACUGAUCCGAUGAACUGUGACUUAUACUUGAAAAACUAAAAGCACAAUCUUAGCAAAAAUGGGAUCUUUUUCAGGUCUUGCAGCCGGUAUAAAGCCUGCACUGAACUUCGAGGGUUAUAUGAUAAAAACUGAGGCAACUGACUGGGAAUCACUCUAAGAUGGAUUAAGCUGUAUUUCUCUCUUGAAGGUUGAGGGUAGCUUUGGAGCUGUCAAUGACAUGGCAACCACAAUGGUGCAGAAGUUCUGGGAUUCUGCCCUCGUUUAGACCCACUUGAAGAUGAUUAUGACACCCAAAGUGAAUCCGCAUUUAUGGCGUCAGAUAGUGUAGAACCAGGGAUGUCUUAUCCGUUUCUUGGUUUAGGAAAUUCAUUUGCCUUCAAAUUUGAGGAUCAUAAGGGUUAUCUACAUCUGCUCAAUUGCAGUAUGUGUUCUCCCUGACUGUAUACAUGUGGAAACCAUAUCGUGCUCAGUAAUACAAUAACAAAAUUAUUGUUUUUGAGUUUCACAGGUACUGUGAAUUUGGAGGAGCUUGUAUCUACCGUUAUGCAGAGGAUAUGAACUGACAGUGAUCAAGAUCAUCCAUAGUUUUUGGUAUGCUUGAUGUUUUAUGUUUCCCUUAUUUCUCAACUUUGUUUGGGGGCAUAUUAAUUUUCAGUGUGAAGAUGAUGAAGGGAAUAAAGUUUUACUUACAACUGAUAGUGAACUUGCUGGAGCUAUUAUCCAUGCUCCAACAACGGGUUUGAAGGCACAACUGGGAUUGUGGAUUACACAAACAAUGACGAGAUGAAGUAUGUUGUAGUGUCAAAAAACUCGAUGACCGAGUUCAGGUAUACUUUUUCGGAAGCCUACAUUCAGGUCAAGGAGUAUGAUUCCAAGAGUAACUCUUCUGGAUGAUUUAUUAGAGAAUCAUGUUAAAUAAAAAGACUGCCAAAUACAAGAAGGGAAGUUGGAGAUUGAACCAGGUAACCUAGACUGGCAUGUCCUACCAGUGAUGAGAAGCAAUUUCGGCUUUGCCUUCGAUGAGGUUGGUCUUCUAAAACGGAUUCAGGUUAACAUAUGUAUCAAUAUGUUAUCAUAUUUGUAUGAUUAUUCUUUGAGUUACGAUAAACUAGGUCACUUCAACAUAAAACAUUGUAUGUCACGUACAAUAUUUAAUUCACUUCAUCUCUGUAACAUUGUAUGUCUCCAAAUGUGAUACUCAAAACUUCACAUUGUGAAUCUU